AUACGAACCGGACAAACGUUAUUCGGAAUCAUUGGGCUUAAAGGGUGCGUAGGCGGCUUAGUAAGUGGGGUGUGAAAUCCCUCGGCUCAACCGAGGAACUGCGCCUCAAACCACUAGGCUAGAGGGAGACAGAGGUAAGCGGAACUGAUGGUGGAGCGGUGAAAUGCGUUGAUAUCAUCAGGAACACCAGUGGCGAAAGCGGCUUACUGGGUCUCUUCUGACGCUGAGGCACGAAAGCUAGGGUAGCGAACGGGAUUAGAAACCCUAGUAGUCC
rnacentral:rRNA from 1 species